UGGGGAAUCUUGCGCAAUGGGCGAAAGCCUGACGCAGCGACGCCGCGUGAGUGAUGAAGGCCUUCGGGUUGUAAAGCUCUGUGGGGAGAGAAGAAUUAGUGCAGCCUAAUACGCUGCAUGAUGACGGUAUCUCCUUAGCAAGCACCGGCUAACUCUGUGCCAGCAGCCGCGGUAAGACAGAGGGUGCAAACGUUGUUCGGAAUUACUGGGCGUAAAGCGUGUGUAGGCGGUCCACUAANUCAANGUGUGAAAGCCCUGGGCUCAACCCAGGAAGUGCACUCGAAACUGGCGGGCUAGAGUAUCGGAGAGGUUGGUGGAAUUCUCGGUGUAGAGGUGAAAUUCGUAGAUAUCGAGAGGAACACCGGUGGCGAAGGCGGCCAACUGGACGAAUACUGACGCUGAGACACGAAAGCGUGGGGAGCAAGCAGGAUUAGAUACCCUGGUAGUCCACGCCGUAAACGAUGGGUGCUAGGUGUCGCGGGCUUUGACUCCCGCGGUGCCGUAGCUAACGCAUUAAGCACCCCCCNUUNANGGUACGGCCGCAAGGCUA
rnacentral:rRNA from 1 species